rnacentral:rRNA from 1 species
GAUGAACGCUGGCGGCGUGCUUAAUACAUGCAAGUCGAACGAGGUGCUUUUGUAGCAAUACGGAAGUAUCCUAGUGGCGAACGGGUGAGUAACGCGUUGGUGACCUAACCCGAAGUGUGGGAUAACAGUCCGAAAGGAUUGCUAAUACCGCAUGUGGUCCCCGGGUUUAGAAACCGGUGACUAAAGCAGCAAUGCGCUUUGGGAGGGACCUGCGUCCCAUCAGCUAGUUGGUGAGGUAACGGCCCACCAAGGCGACGACGGGUAGUUGGACCGAGAGGUCGUUCAACCACAAGGGCACUGAGACACGGGCCCUACACCUACGGGAGGCAG